UUGUGCCUUAUCUUUAUGGCAAUCAGAAUCAUAGCUGCUGAAGCUUCAGACGAGCAGGAUACUUCACAGACAAAAGUGUUUUCGAUGAAAGGGAACGCUGCGUGGAGUGGUCCAGCUAACCUCUUGUCCUCAUCAUUUGUCUUUUUUCUUUUACCAGGUUCUGCUGCUCCAGGGUCCCACAGGGUGAAAUCUAAUCCUGCCAGCAGCGAGCAGGAGCCAGUUACAGGGAGUGAACAGAGCUGGAUGGCAGGGCUGCUAGAGCACCCAGGGUACGACGAGGAGAGGCUGCGGAGGGUGUCAGAGCAGCUGCCCUGCAGAGAGCUCCAGGCUGGGUUGCUGCUGUCGCUUAUGGGACAGCCCCAGCAGUACUGCUACCCUUCACUCUUCAUCUAUGGUCAUCGAGCCUCAGGAAAAAGUCAUGUGGUGAACGUUUUUAUGAAGGACCUGGAGCUUCCUCAUGUCACAGUCAGCUGUGUGGAAUGCGUUUCUGUGGCGCUGCUGUUUGAAAAAGUGCUGCAGUCUUUCUUCGGUGGCGACGCCGCCUCGCUGCUUCCCCGCAGUCCUUCCCUCUCAGACUUUGUUCGCAUCUACAGACAGCAGUCCUCCCAGUCUCCUGCCAAACAGACGCGAUACAUCGUAAUGGAGAAAGCUGAACUUCUAAGAGACGCUGAUGUCAAUCUUCUCCCUGCUCUCCUCCGUCUUCAGGAGCUGGUGAAGGACAACGUCAGCGUCAUCCUGCUCAGUGAAAUCGUUUGGGACAAGUUCAGACCCAACACCGGCUGCUUUGAGCCUCUUCUGCUUCAUUUCCCAGACUACAGUAAAGGCGAGCUGCAGCAGAUUUUGUCCACAGACCGACAUCCUUCAUAUUCAGCAGAGUUUUACUCCUCCUACAUCAACAUGCUGCUGGGGGUCUUUUACCCCAUCUGUCGGGACCUCAGAGAGCUGCGGCACCUGGCGGCCCUCAACUUUUCAAAAUUCUGUGAGCCCGUCGCAGCAGGGAAAGUGAAGGAGACGGACACACACAAGCUGUGGAAAUACAUCGAGCCUCAUCUGAAAAAAGCCAUGCAGACAGUUUACCUUCGAGAGGUGUCCAGUCUUCAGUGGGAGCAGAUGGAGGAACAUGAGACCGGAGCCCUGAGAGGUUUAUCAGCUCACACUCAUGUUGAACUUCCCUAUUACUCCAAGUUCCUGCUGAUUGCUGCCUAUCUGGCGUCCUACAACCCUGCCCGCACAGAUAAACGCUUCUUUCUGAAGCACCACGGUAAAAUAAGAAAAACAAACUUCUUGAAGAAAAACGAGAAGACGAGUAACCACCUUCUGGGGCCGAAGCCCUUCCCUCUGGACCGCUUGCUCGCCGUUUUCUACAGCGUGGUGGACAGCCGAGUCGCUCCGACUGCCAGCAUCUUCUCCCAGAUCUCCUCUCUGGUGACUUUGCAGCUGCUGACUCUGGUCAGCCACGACGACCAGCUCGAUACACCCAAGUACAAAUGUGCCGUUUCCCUGGAUUUUAUUUCUGCCAUAUCCAGGACGGUGAACUUUGAUAUUGUGAAGUAUCUGUAUGAUUUCCUGUGAGGCUGCGGUGCGUGAAGGAGAGGUGACGCAUGGUGACUGUAAGAUAAAGAGAGGUGUAGUUCUGCAGGACAAGAGUUUGGCUCAAGGAGAAACCCAGACUGCUGUUAGGUGUCGCUGCCACCUUGUGGCUAAAAGUUUCAGAAAUGCAAAUGAAGAUGACUGCAUCACCUGCCUGUGGAGCGGUUUUCCUGACGUGAAGCGAUCCUGGCAACAUUCAGGAGAGCCUUUGACCUUUGCUCCGAGGCAGGAAUGCAUCUCUUUGUCUUUUUACCUUUUUAAACCACAGCUUGCAGUUUCAUGCCUCCUACCUCAGCAGUUUUUACAUUUUAUUCUUACAUAUUCUUGAUUUAUUUUAGGUCCUUUCAUGUGACCUUUGCUUUGGUUGUUUUCUGUGCCAAUGACCUCCAUUUAAAAAGCUUUUUUGCUGUUUUUUUUUCUGUCAUCACUGCAAUUUGAGUUAUUACAUUUUAUUUAGUCUCUAGCGUAAAAAUCCCUCCAUGUUUUCCUGUUUAUUAUUAAAUAUAUUUUCCAUGUACUGUAAGUCUACAAACUUACAUAGUAUUUUUGACAUUUUUUAUUUAUUCAUUUGUAUCAGAACCACUUCCAGGUUCAGAUAAAACCCCCCAACAGAACUCUUUGCAUAUAUGAUAUAUCUCCAUCUCAGUCUGUUUGCUUUAGCUGCUAAUUUUAUGUAAAAAUCUACAAAGUGGACGUUUUAAAAGUAUUCAUACCCCUUGAACUCCCCAUGUUGUCCUCAACAGACGUUCACUGUAUUUAUUGAGUUUUAUUAACCAUGUGAAUUUGUUCGGUCUUUAACUUUCAUUCAUUUUCUAUACAUUUUUACAGUCUGCGUUUUUGUAAAAAUGCCUCCAAUGGUUAGAUUUUUAGAUGUCCUCAGAAACGUUUACAUGUGACUUUAUCAGUAGAAAUAAAAAAUAAUUUACCUUU